CCCAGCGUCUUCCCGACUCCGGCCCCGUAAGAGGGGAUCAGAUCAGCGUCGGUUGUGACAGUGUAAGCUCCGGUCUUAAACCCGAAGCUAGUAAAUCUGUGCAAAGGCUGAGUCAAGAAUAGUAAUAGCAAUCUACAGUGGAAAGGAAAUUUUCCUAUGCUGCUGCUGCUGCAGGCUGCUUCACCAGGAUGUCAGUUUUGAAGCACAGAGCCAAAUUCAGUUUUGUGCUGCGUCCUUUCAGACCUUUUUGAAUUCGAUGAGGCUAUGGAGGCAGAGAAAGGUAGCAGGCAUGGUCAGAGGAAUAGAG